CAGUCGCCACGGUAAUACGUAGGGUGCGAGCGUUAAUCGGAAUUACUGGGCGUAAAGCGUGCGCAGGCGGUUGUGUAAGACAGGUGUGAAAUCCCCGGGCUUAACCUGGGAACUGCGCUUGUGACUGCACAGCUAGAGUAUGGCAGAGGGGGGUGGAAUUCCACGUGUAGCAGUGAAAUGCGCAGAGGUGUGGAGGAACACCGAUGGCGAAGGCAGCCCCCUGGGCCAAUACUGACGCUCAUGCACGAAAGCGUGGGGAGCAAACAGGAUUAGAUACCCGCGUAGUCCCUGUCUCUUAUAC
rnacentral:rRNA from 1 species